rnacentral:tRNA from 1 species
UGUUCUGUGGCUUAGUUGGUUAAAACACCGGUCUAGCGAAUACGGAGUCGUGGGUUUAAAUCCCACCAGAACGC